rnacentral:rRNA from 1 species
GAUGAACGCCGGCGGUGUGCCUAAUACAUGCAAGUCGAACGCGUUGGCCCAACUGAUUGAACGUGCUUGCACGGACUUGACGUUGGUUUACCAGCGAGUGGCGGACGGGUGAGUAACACGUAGGUAACCUGCCCCAAAGCGGGGGAUAACAUUUGGAAACAGAUGCUAAUACCGCAUAAUAAUUUGAAUCGCAUGAUUCAAAUUUAAAAGAUGGCUUCGGCUAUCACUUUGGGAUGGACCUGCGGCGCAUUAGCUUGUUGGUAGGGUAACGGCCUACCAAGGCUGUGAUGCGUAGCCGAGUUGAGAGACUGAUCGGCCACAAUGGAACUGAGACACGGUCCAUACUCCUACGGGAGGCAGCAGUAGGGAAUCUUCCACAAUGGGCGCAAGCCUGAUGGAGCAACACCGCGUGAGUGAAGAAGGGUUUCGGCUCGUAAAGCUCUGUUGUUAGAGAAGAACGUGCGUGAGAGCAACUGUUCACGCAGUGACGGUAUCUAACCAGAAAGUCACGGCUAACUACGUGCCAGCAGCCGCGGUAAUACGUAGGUGGCAAGCGUUAUCCGGAUUUAUUGGGCGUAAAGCGAGCGCAGGCGGUUUGAUAAGUCUGAUGUGAAAGCCUUUGGCUUAACCAAAGAAGUGCAUCGGAAACUGUCAGACUUGAGUGCAGAAGAGGACAGUGGAACUCCAUGUGUAGCGGUGGAAUGCGUAGAUAUAUGGAAGAACACCAGUGGCGAAGGCGGCUGUCUGGUCUG